rnacentral:rRNA from 1 species
UGCAAGUCGAGCGGAGACAGUGAGUAGCUUGCUACGAGCUGUUUUAGCGGCGGACGGGUGAGUAACGCGUGAGCAACCUUUCCCAGACAGGGGAAUAACACACCGAAAGGUGUACUAAUACCGCAUAAGACCACGGGAUCACAUGGUUCUGGGGUAAAAGAUUUAUCGGUUUGGGGUGGGCUCGCGUCCGAUUAGGUAGUUGGUGAGGUAACGGCCCACCAAGCCGACGAUCGGUAGCCGACCUGAGAGGGUGAUCGGCCACAUUGGGACUGAGACACGGCCCAAACUCCUACGGGAGGCAGCAGUGGGGAAUAUUGGGCAAUGGGGGGAACCCUGACCCAGCAACGCCGCGUGGAGGAAGAAGGUUUUCGGAUCGUAAACUCCUGUCCUUGGAGACGAGUAGAAGACGGUAUCCAAGGAGGAAGCCCCGGCUAACUACGUGCCAGCAGCCGCGGUAAUACGUAGGGGGCAAGCGUUGUCCGGAAUAAUUGGGCGUAAAGGGCGCGUAGGCGGCUCGGUAAGUCUGGAGUGAAAGUCCUGCUUUUAAGGUGGGAAUUGCUUUGGAUACUGUCGGGCUUGAGUGCAGGAGAGGUUAGUGGAAUUCCCAGUGUAGCGGUGAAAUGCGUAGAGAUUGGGAGGAACACCAGUGGCGAAGGCGACUAACUGGACUGUAACUGACGCUGAGGCGCGAAA